UAUCAUGAUGAACAAUUGCGAAAUAUAUACGCUGGAAAUUACCGGCUGAGGCUUUCGGGCUCUUGAAGAUAUUUAAUGGCUAUUUCUGAUC
rnacentral:snoRNA from 1 species